GGGUGAUGGCGUGCCUUUUGUAGAAUGAACCGGCGAGUUACGAUUUGAUGCAAGGUUAAGCAGUAAAUGUGGAGCCGUAGCGAAAGCGAGUCUGAAUAGGGCGUUUAGUAUUUGGUCGUAGACCCGAAACCAGGUGAUCUACCCUUGGUCAGGUUGAAGUUCAGGUAACACUGAAUGGAGGACCGAACCGACUUACGUUGAAAAGUGAGCGGAUGAACUGAGGGUAGCGGAGAAAUUCCAAUCGAACCUGGAGAUAGCUGGUUCUCUCCGAAAUAGCUUUAGGGCUAGCCUCAAGUGAUGAUUAUUGGAGGUAGAGCACUGUUUGGACGAGGGGCCCCUCUCGGGUUACCGAAUUCAGACAAACUCCGAAUGCCAAUUAAUUUAACUUGGGAGUCAGAACAUGGGUGAUAAGGUCCGUGUUCGAAAGGGAAACAGCCCAGACCACCAGCUAAGGUCCCAAAAUAUAUGUUAAGUGGAAAAGGAUGUGGCGUUGCCCAGACAACUAGGAUGUUGGCUUAGAAGCAGCCAUCAUUUAAAGAGUGCGUAAUAGCUCACUAGUCGAGUGACACUGCGCCGAAAAUGUACCGGGGCUAAACAUAUUACCGAAGCUGUGGAUUGUCCUUUGGACAAUGGUAGGAGAGCGUUCUAAGGGCGUUGAAGCAUGAUCGUAAGGACAUGUGGAGCGCUUAGAAGUGAGAAUGCCGGUGUGAGUAGCGAAAGACGGGUGAGAAUCCCGUCCACCGAUUGACUAAGGUUUCCAGAGGAAGGCUCGUCCGCUCUGGGUUAGUCGGGUCCUAAGCUGAGGCCGACAGGCGUAGGCGAUGGAUAACAGGUUGAUAUUCCUGUACCACCUAUAAUCGUUUUAAUCGAUGGGGGGACGCAGUAGGAUAGGCGAAGCGUGCGAUUGGAUUGCACGUCUAAGCAGUAAGGCUGAGUAUUAGGCAAAUCCGGUACUCAUUAAGGCUGAGCUGUGAUGGGGAGAAGACAUUGUGUCUUCGAGUCGUUGAUUUCACACUGCCGAGAAAAGCCUCUAGAUAGAAAAUAGGUGCCCGUACCGCAAACCGACACAGGUAGUCAAGAUGAGAAUUCUAAGGUGAGCGAGCGAACUCUCGUUAAGGAACUCGGCAAAAUGACCCCGUAACUUCGGGAGAAGGGGUGCUCUUUAGGGUUAACGCCAAGAAGUGCCGCAGUGAAUAGGCCCAAGCGACUGUUUAUCAAAAACACAGG
rnacentral:rRNA from 1 species